rnacentral:rRNA from 1 species
GCAGCCGCGGUAAUACGUAGGGGGCAAGCGUUAUCCGGAUUUACUGGGUGUAAAGGGAGCGUAGGCGGCCAUGCAAGUCAGAAGUGAAAGCCCGGGGCUCAACCCCGGGACUGCUUUUGAAACUGUAAGGCUAGAUUGCCGGAGAGGUAAGCGGAAUUCCUAGUGUAGCGGUGAAAUGCGUAGAUAUUAGGAGGAACACCAGUGGCGAAGGCGGCUUACUGGACGGUAAAUGACGCUGAGGCUCGAAAGCGUGGGGAGCAAACAGGAUUAGAUACCCC